UGGGGAAUAUUGCACAAUGGGCGCAAGCCUGAUGCAGCCAUGCCGCGUGUAUGAAGAAGGCCUUCGGGUUGUAAAGUACUUUCAGCGGGGAGGAAGGCGAUAAGGUUAAUAACCUUGUCGAUUGACGUUACCCGCAGAAGAAGCACCGGCUAACUCCGUGCCAGCAGCCGCGGUAAUACGGAGGGUGCAAGCGUUAAUCGCAAUUACUGGGCGUAAAGCGCACGCAGGCGGUCUGUCAAGUCGGAUGUGAAAUCCCCGGGCUCAACCUGGGAACUGCAUUCGAAACUGGCAGGCUAGAGUCUUGUAGAGGGGGGUAGAAUUCCAGGUGUAGCGGUGAAAUGCGUAGAGAUCUGGAGGAAUACCGGUGGCGAAGGCGGCCCCCUGGACAAAGACUGACGCUCAGGUGCGAAAGCGUGGGGAGCAAACA
rnacentral:rRNA from 1 species